AUUGAACGCUGGCGGCAUGCUUUACACAUGCAAGUCGAACGGCAGCGGGGGCUUCGGCCUGCCGGCGAGUGGCGAACGGGUGAGUAAUGCAUCGGAACGUGCCCAUGUCGUGGGGGAUAACGUAUCGAAAGGUACGCUAAUACCGCAUACGUCCUGAGGGAGAAAGCGGGGGAUCUUCGGACCUCGCGCGAUUGGAGCGGCCGAUGUCGGAGUAGCUAGUAGGUGAGGUAAAGGCUCACCUAGGCGACGAUCCGUAGCGGGUCUGAGAGGAUGAUCCGCCACACUGGGACUGAGACACGGCCCAGACUCCUACGGGAGGCAGCAGUGGGGAAUUUUGGACAAUGGGCGCAAGCCUGAUCCAGCCAUGCCGCGUGAGUGAAGAAGGCCUUCGGUUUGUAAAGCUCUUUCGGCCGGGAAGAAAUCGGCGACUCUAACAUAGUCGCUGGAUGACGGUACCGGACUAAGAAGCACCGGCUAACUACGUGCCAGCCGCCGCAGUAAAAC
rnacentral:rRNA from 1 species